CAGUUAGUCAUGAACAUUGGCUAUCCAUUAAGGUACGAGUUGUUUUUUCCGGGUAUCAUUUUUUUUAGAAAUUAGGUCUCGUUUGUAUAUUAUAAAUUUAUGUAUGGUUUUGAGUUGAGUCAUUCUAGGUCUGGAUGAGUUCGGUUCUGAUGUAUAAGAACCUAAAAAUAUCUAAAUAACAAACGUAUCUGAAACGAGUUCGAAUAUUUGUAACAAAUAUAACGAUAUUAUCUGAUUCGGUCCAGGUCUUUUGAAUACAAUUAGUUAUAUCAUGACCUAUCUAAAAUAUAUAACACUAAUUAUAAAAUAUAAACAUUAAUAUAUAAAAAUGGAAGAAUCAAUAUCGCGGGUGUGCAGAUCAAUCUCUAGUUAAAUAUUAGAGUAAAUAUUAGAGCAAAGGCAAAGAAUUCAACCGGUCAAAUGAUAAAAAAAAAAAUAAUCUUGCUGACUUUUCCCACCAGCAACAUUGCAACAAUCAUCCACGUCAUCUUCGAUUUAUUUUGUUUUGGGUUUGGUUUGUUUUCGGCCUGUUUGUUCUGCAGCUUUUAGCCCACAUCUUGACUUCCACAUCUUCCAUUACUCUUCUCUCCAAACCGUAUGCGCUUCCAAUUCCCCUUUGGUGGACCAAGUUACUUUUUGCAAUUAUGUCACACUUCUCUCUCCGUUGAGAAUGAGAAUGUCCACGUCAGCAACAACUUUAUUUAUUUAUUUAUGCUACUUUUAUUUUUAAGAAGAAAAAAACGUUUCAUAUUUUGCAAAGGUACAAACUUUUCACUUUCCUUCUUCUUAUUUUGACAGUCAUUCUUCUAUUCUCCAUACAUUCUCUCAAAUCUACAAAUCCUGCCUUUCCAGAAUCCUAUUGGUAACCCAAAAUCUUCGCAAUCAGCCUUAGAAAUCCAACCAUGCAAUCCAACUAUUUAUAGAAGCAAAAACCCAGAUUGUGGAUUAAGAAAAUUGAGAGGGGAGGGGAAACCUAAGAGAAUCACCCGUUAGUGGAAAUCUCAAAAAAUGGAUUCAGGGUAAAGAAAUAAAAGUAAAGUCUUCGAAAAUUGGAAGAGAUAACAAACCAGAUUAGGCUGUAAAGCUGUACUUGCAGCUGAGUUUCUCUUCCUGCGAACCCUCAACCACUCCUCUGCAAAUGGCUGCCUCCGAUGGAAUUUCUGCUGAACUUGCUGCUCAGCACGCAACCUUUGACGAUCUCGGCCUUGGUCUGCCCUCUCAGGUUUUACCUAGGGGGUAUCGAUCACAGGAUGCAAGGAUUUUCAAACAAGUAUCUGGACCUACAGUCAAAGAACCUCGGGCUCUAUGGGACGACUUCGGGUUACGAGUUCUCAUGGGCCUGUUGAGAGGUCGUCGUUAGCCGGUUUCUUAUCUUUUUGGCGGGAAGGAUUUAGUGCUAAAUUCUGGUAAGAGUGGACACCACGGUUAGUUCAAGUUAUAUUUUGACUUGAACAUUUACGCCAGCCAAGCUUUCAUCAACAGUUGCUGAGGAUUUUUCGCAUGUCGAGACAAUGGGAGAGAUUCAAAAGCAAGAACUUGUGUCAAUUGGGGGAUCUCUGCACGCACCUUUCCAAGUCCACCGACCAGACUAAUUGGCGGUGGAGUGUCAGAGCUCCCAAGAUGCUUCAAAGAACUUGCUGGCAAGCAGUGUCUCUUUCAGAUUCGAGUGACACCCUACAAUUUCACUCCCCACUACCGGACCUUUACAGUAGACGAAUAUGUGGAUGUGAAGACUCAUUCAGGGGGUGAAAGUAACAACAGAGCUCCACAAGUGGUAAGCCAAAGUGAGCAACCACCUGCUUCUGCAAGCGAUCCGGUAGAUGCUGCUACAAAAGUGAUGGCAGUGGAUCAACCAACACCACCCAGCUUUGGAGUCCAAGUUGGAAACGCUACCUUGAGUGAAAGUUGGAAGUGUAGUAAGUUGUAGAUUACCUACAGUUUAUGUUCGUGCAUUACAAACUGUACAUUAACUAUUUCCCUUUUGUUUUUAAUUUCCAUGUUUUUUUUUUUGUUUUUAAAUUUGCUGCAACCAAGUAUAGAAGGAUCAAGGAAGAUCAUAAACAUUAUUGUUAAUAUUGUAUAUUUAUUAUAUAAGAUACUCAUAUAUAUUUGUAUAUAUCUAGUUUAGGAAACA